AUGAGUAUAAUCAGUUUAUAGAAGAGAUUAACCAAGUUGAAGGACAUAGUCCAUGUCUAAACUUGUUCAUAAUUUUAAAAAUGGUGACAGGCAUGAAUAGCAGGUAAUUCCAUAUAAAUUAGUACUUGAGCCCCAACAAAGCUGCUUAGAGAAGUUUCCUUUAAUUUUAAUAUAGUGGCUCCCUCAAAUAUUCAGCAUUUAUGGCAUUGCUGACAUUUGUUCAUUACAGAAGUGAUUUUAGCCACUACUAUGAAAAACAGAAUGAGCGAGAAAAUCAAAUACCUUGGGAAAAUCAGGCAAGUAAGAAGAUAGGCAUGGUGGCUCACGCCUGUAAUCCCAGCACUUUGGGAGGCCUAGGUGGGCGGAUCACUUCAGGUCAGGAGUUUGGGACCAGCCUGGCCAACAUGGUGAAAUCCUGUCUCCACCAAAAAUGCGAAAACUUAGCCGGGUGUAAUGGUGGAUGCCCGUCAUCCCAGCUACUUGAGAAGUUGAGGCAGAAGAAUUGCUUAAACCCAGGAGGAGGAGGUUGCAGUGAGCCUAGAUCGCACCACGGCACUCCAGCCUAGGCAAUAGAGCGAGACUCCAUCUCAAAAAAGAAAAAAGAAAGCCAACACUUAGGGAGGCCAAGGCAAGAGGAUCACUUGACCCCAGGAGCGCAAGACCAGCCUGGACGUGGCAAAACCCUGUCUCUACAAAAAAAAAAAAAUUGCCGGGUGCAGUAGUACAUGCCUGUGGCCCCAAGCUAUUGAGGAGGCUGAGGCAAGAGGGUCACCUGAUCCCAGAAGGCAGAGGUUGAAGUGAGGUGAAAUUGCACCACUGCAUUUCACCCUGGGUGAAAGAGCAACAUCUUGUCUAAAAGGAAAAAAAAAAAAAAAGAUAGCAACAAAAACAAUGGCUACAUUGUAAUUAGC
rnacentral:lncRNA from 13 species